AGUUGUGAAGUCAGUUCUCAAGAGAGCUCUGUAUUUUGCACUUCUCAAUUAGAUCUAAACUUGGAAACUUUUCUCAGAAGUUAACUGUCCUUUGACCUCUUCUCUUCUGAAUUGCAGAAAUCAGACAGGAUCUUGGUAUUUGUUAAAAUGACCUCUUGUGUUGCUAAAGAACCUAUUAAGAAGAUUGCCAUCUUUGGAGGGACUCAUGGAAAUGAACUGACCGGAGUGUUUCUAGUUACUCACUGGCUAAGGAAUGGCACUGAAGUUCACAGAGCAGGGCUGGACGUGAAGCCAUUCAUUACCAAUCCAAGGGCGGUGGAGAAGUGCACCAGAUACAUUGACUGUGACCUGAAUCGUGUUUUUGACCUUGAAAAUCUUAGAUUUUGUCCAGACAGCCCCCAGCCUGCAAUUCUAGCUGCUUGGGAAGCUGAGGCAGGAGGCAAUCCUCCAUCCUUGGCUGCAGAAUAAAUUCAAAGCUAGCCCACUUGAGAGUAUUGUAUUGUGAUGUCAACACUUGUUCCAGAAAAAUGCAUCAAAGAGAUGUCUGAAGACUUGCCAUAUGAAGUGAGAAGGGCUCAAGAAAUAAAUCAUUUAUUUGGUCCAAAAAAUAGUGAUGAUGCCUAUGACCUUGUUUUUGACCUUCACAACACCACUUCUAACAUGGGUUGCACUCUUAUUCUUGAGGAUUCCAGGAAUGACUUUUUAAUUCAGAUGUUUCACUAUAUUAAGACUUGCAUGGCUCCAUUACCCUGCUCUGUUUAUCUCAUUGAGCAUCCUUCACUCAAAUAUGCAACCACUCGUUCCAUUGCCAAGUAUCCUGUUGGUAUAGAAGUUGGUCCUCAGCCUCACGGUGUCCUUAGAGCUGAUAUUUUAGACCAAAUGAGAAAAAUGAUAAAACAUGCUCUUGAUUUUAUACAGCAUUUCAAUGAAGGAAAAGAAUUUCCUCCCUGUUCUAUUGACGUCUAUAAAAUAAUGGAGAAAGUUGAUUAUCCAAGGAAUGAAAGUGGAGACAUGGCUGCUGUUAUUCAUCCUAAUCUGCAGGAUCAAGACUGGAAACCAUUGCACCCUGGAGAUCCUGUGUUUGUGUCUCUUGAUGGAAAAGUUAUUCCACUGGGUGGAGACUGUACCGUGUACCCAGUGUUUGUGAAUGAAGCUGCAUAUUAUGAAAAAAAAGAAGCAUUUGCAAAGACAACAAAACUAACACUCAGCGCAAAAAGCAUCCGCUCCACUUUGCACUAAAAGUCUUUGCAAGCUCAGUUAUAGGAGUCUUGCAAACACCUAGAACUCUGUAAACCUCCAAGACCAGAGUGCCUUACUCUAGUUCUUUUCCUCAGUGCCUGGCCCCGUGCCUCAAGCAGUAAGCAUCCAGGCCAGGUUCUGAAAGGAAAGGAUAAAUUAAUGAACGUCUUUCAAAUAUAUUUUGGAUGUGCUAUGUACAGGCAAGUGUGCUUCUGGUUUCUGUAUUAUUCUUUAUACAGUAUAUUCUUGUAGCGUAACAUUGUUAACUUUCACAUUUAGAACAUAACAUUGAAAUACAUGCUAGUGCAACUUAGCACACAGCAGGACAGACUAUAUGUUUUCAAGUAAUGCAUAAGUGCUAAUCAAAACUAAUAGUACAGACUUUGUGUUUUUAAGUUCUGGUGUGUGAAUUAAUGACAGUGAAUUAAAUGUCCAUUCCAUAAA